AACGAACGCUGGCGGCAUGCCUAACACAUGCAAGUCGAACGAGACCUUCGGUCUAGUGGCGCACGGGUGCGUAACGCGUGGGAAUCUGCCCUUGGGUUCGGAAUAACAGCGAGAAAUUGCUGCUAAUACCGGAUGAUGACGUAAGUCCAAAGAUUUAUCGCCCAAGGAUGAGCCCGCGUAGGAUUAGCUAGUUGGUGAGGUAAAGGCUCACCAAGGCGACGAUCCUUAGCUGGUCUGAGAGGAUGAUCAGCCACACUGGGACUGAGACACGGCCCAGACUCCUACGGGAGGCAGCAGUGGGGGAAUAUUGGACAAUGGGCGGAAAGACCUGAUCCACGCAAUGCCGCGUGAGUGAUGAAGGACCGUUACGGGUUU
rnacentral:rRNA from 1 species